UAACAGGAUUAGAUACCCUGGUAGUCCACGCCGUAAACGAUGAUAACUAGCUGUCGGGGCUCUUAGAGCUUCGGUGGCGCAGCUAACGCAUUAAGUUAUCCGCCUGGGGAGUACGGCCGCAAGGUUAAAACUCAAAUGAAUUGACGGGGGCCUGCACAAGCGGUGGAGCAUGUGGUUUAAUUCGAUGCAACGCGAAGAACCUUACCUACUCUUGACAUCCAGAGAAUUCGCUAGAGAUAGCUUAGUGCCUUCGGGAACUCUGAGACAGGUGCUGCAUGGCUGUCGUCAGCUCGUGUUGUGAAAUGUUGGGUUAAGUCCCGCAACGAGCGCAACCCCUAUCCUUAUUUGCCAGCACGUAAUGGUGGGAACUCUAGGGAGACUGCCGGUGAUAAACCGGAGGAAGGUGGGGGCGACGUCAAGUCAUCAUGGCCCUUACGAGUAGGGCUACACACGUGCUACAAUGGCGAGUACAGAGGGUUGCAAAGCCGCGAGGUGGAGCUAAUCUCACAAAGCUCGUCGUAGUCCGGAUUGGAGUCUGCAACUCGACUCCAUGAAGUCGGAAUCGCUAGUAAUCGUGGAUCAGAAUGCCACGGUGGAUACGUUCCCGGGCCUUGUACACACCGCCCGUCACACCAUGGGAGUGGGCUGCAAAAGAAGUGGGUAGCUUAACCUUCGGGGGGGCGCUCACCACUUUGUGGUUCAUGACUGGGGUGAAGUCGUAACAAGGUAACCA
rnacentral:rRNA from 1 species